rnacentral:misc_RNA from 1 species
AAAAUAAUCCUACCCUUUGUGAAUUUUGUUUGUUUGAAUAAUUUUUUUUUUUAAAAAAUUAUUGGAGUCUUUCCCUUUAGAGUUUGCUUUUGAGUUUGUAAAAGAAUUCGAAAACAUCUAAAGGGGAUGGUCAAUAAUUUUUUUUGAAAAAAGACAUUUUUUAAAAUUAAACUUUUUGUAUUCAUUUGUCUAAAAAUUAUUUUUAUAAUAUAAAAACAACUUUUGACAAUGGAUCUCUUGGUUCUCGCAACGAUGAAGAACGCAGCAAAAUGCGAUAAGUAGUGUGAAUUGCAGAAUACGUGAAUCAUUGAAUCUUUGAACGCAUAUUGCACUUUUUUAGUUUACUAAAAAAGUAUGUCUGUUUGAGUAUCAGUAAAAUAUUCUCAUAAAAAUCAUUGUGUAUUUUUAUGGUUAUGAGUGUUUUACAACGAUACAAGUUGUUUCACUUUAAAUUUUUUUUUAAUAUUGAAAUUUUUCUAAUUUUAAUAAUUAAAAUUGGAUAAAAUUUUCCCGUCAAAAGGAAUAACCUAAACAAUUUUAAAUGAUUAAUUUUAGCAAAAUUUUCGUAAAAAGGAAAAUUUUUAUUAAAUAACUUGAUCUCAAAUCAGAUAAGAGUACCCGCUGAACUUAAGCAUAUCAAUAAGCGGAGGAAAAGAAACUAACAAGGAUUCCCUUAGUAACGGCGAGUGAAGCGGGAAGAGCUCAAAUUUGAAAUCUUCAAGGUUUUACCUUGACGAAUUGUAGUUUAAAGAAGUGUUUUCUGCUGAAGUUUUGGUAAAAGUUCUUUGGAAUAGGACAUCAUAGAGGGUGAGAAUCCCGUAUUUGACCAUUAUUUUCAGCUUUGUGAUACACUUUCAAAGAGUCGGAUUGUUUGGGAAUGCAGUCCAAAAUGGGUGGUAAAUUUCAUCUAAAGCUAAAUAUUGGCGAGAGACCGAUAGCGAACAAGUACCGUGAGGGAAAGAUGAAAAGAACUUUGAAAAGAGAGUUAAACAGUACGUGAAAUCGUCAAAAGGGAAGCGUUUGACACCAGUGUUGUUUUCUCGAAAAUCAAUUAAAAAUGGCUCGAUUUUGUAUUGCUGAGACCUUAAAAGCUCACUGUACAUUUUUCGUGUCUUUUUUAAUGCACUUUUCGUUUAACAAGUCAACAUCAGUUUCUUUUGUUGUAAAAGGGUCAUUGGAAGGUGGCUUUCUUUUCGGAGAAAGUGUUUAUAGCCUUUGGCCUCUGCAAUCGGAGAGACUGAGGUCUGCAGCGUAGACUCUUCGGGGUUAGAUACAUUUGUGCUAAGUUAUAGCUUUUAUAGACAACUUGUUGACUAUAAUUAGUCUUGUAGCUUACUCGCUUAUGCUAUUU